CUAGCCUUAUCGGUGGAUCACUCGGCUCGUAGAUCGAUGAAGAACGCAGCCAGCUGCGAUAAUUGGUGUGAACUGCAGAUAUUUUGAGCACCGAGGUUUCGAAUGCACAUUGCGCCAUUGGAUCCUAUCCUUUGGCAUAUCUGGUUCAGGGUCGUAA
rnacentral:rRNA from 1 species